UUCCAGACUCCUACGGGAGGCAGCAGUCGGGAAUAUUGCGCAAUGGAGGAAACUCUGACGCAGUGACGCCGCGUGCAGGAAGAAGGUUUUCGGAUUGUAAACUGCUUUAGACAGGGAAGAUAAUGACAGUACCUGUAGAAUAAGCUCCGGCUAACUACGUGCCAGCAGCCGCGGUAAUACGUAGGGAGCAAGCGUUAUCCGGAAUUACUGGGUGUAAAGGGUGAGUAGGCGGCAUGGUAAGCCAGAUGUGAAAGCCUUGGGCUUAACCCGAGGAUUGCAUUUGGAACUAUCAAGCUAGAGUACAGGAGAGGAAAGCGGAAUUCCUAGUGUAGCGGUGAAAUGCGUAGAUAUUAGGAAGAACACCAGUGGCGAAGGCGGCUUUCUGGACUGAAACUGACGCUGAGGCACGAAAGCGUGGGGAGCGAACAGGAUUAGAUACCCCCGUA
rnacentral:rRNA from 1 species